rnacentral:rRNA from 1 species
CGAACGCUGGCGGCGCGCUUUAUGCAUGCAAGUCGAACGGACCUCUCCGUGAAGCUCCAUGAAGAACCCGAGGAACGAACCGGAGUCCCGACUUGUCGGGGCGAAGGGGAGGGAAUCGGAGACCGACUGGAGUAGAUCGGAUUCAAGAGGUUAGUGGCGAACGGCUGAGUAACGCGUAAUCAACCUGUCCUCGUGUGGGGGACAACUCCGAGAAAUCGGGGCUAAUACCGCAUAAUAUGGCUCGUCAUAAGACGGAUCACUAAAGUCCCGACUUGUCGGGACGCAUGAGGAGGGGAUUGCGUUCUAUCAGGUAGUUGGUGUGGUAACGGCUCACCAAGCCUACGACGGAUAGCUGGUCUUAGAGGAUGAUCAGCCAGAUGGGGACUGAGACACGGCCCCAACUCCUACGGGAGGCAGCAGCAGGGAAUCUUGCGCAAUGGGCGAAAGCCUGACGCAGCGACGUCGCGUGGGGGAUGAAGGCCUUAGGUUGUAAACCCCUUUUGUUUGGGGCGAAGAUCUGACGGUACCAAACGAAUAAGCCUCGGCUAACUACGUGCCAGCAGCAGCGGUAAUACGUAGGAGGCGAGCGUUGCCCGGAUUUAUUGGGCGUAAAGGGUGCGUAGGCGGUCUGGAAAGUCUUUUGUGAAAUCUCCCGGCUUAACCGGGAGGGGUCAGAAGAUACUUCUAGACUUGAGGGGAGUAGAGGAGAACGGAAUUCCCGGUGUAGCGGUGAAAUGCAUAGAUAUCGGGAGGAACACUAGUGGCGAAGGCGGUUCUCUGGGCUCAACCUGACGCUAAGGCACGAAAGCGUGGGGAGCAAACCGGAUUAGAUACCCGGGUAGUCCACGCCGUAAACGAUGGAUACUGGGUACAGGGGGUAUCGACCCCCCCUGUGUCGAAGCUAACGCGUUAAGUAUCCCGCCUGGGGAGUACGGCCGCAAGGCUAAAACUCAAAGGAAUUGACGGGGGCCCGCACAAGCAGCGGAGCGUGUGGUUUAAUUCGAUGCUAAGCGAAGAACCUUACCUGGGCUUGACAUGCCGAGAGUAGGAACCCGAAAGGGUGACGAACCGUUAAGUCGGUAAUCGGCACAGAUGCUGCAUGGCUGUCGUCAGCUCGUGCCGUGAGGUGUUGGGUUAAGUCCCACAACGAGCGCAACCCUCGUCGUCAGUUGUAUUUCUCUGGCGAGACUGCUGCGCAGAACGCAGAGGAAGGUGGGGAUGACGUCAAGUCAGCACGGCUCUUACGCCCAGGGCUACACACACGCUACAAUGGUCGGUACAAUGGGUUGCCAAGGAGCGAUCCGGAGCUAAUCCCAUCAAAGCCGGCCCCAGUUGGAAUUGGAGGCUGCAACUCGCCUCCAUGAACGCGGAGUUGCUAGUAACCGCAGGUCAGCACACUGCGGUGAAUACGUUCCCGGGCCUUGUACACACCGCCCGUCACGUCAUGAAAGCCGGUAACACUUAAAGUCGAUGGACCAACCCCGACUUGUCGGGGAGGUAGUUGCCUAGGGUGGGACUGGUAAUUGGGACGAAGUCGUAACAAGGUAACC